GGCCGAGUGCGGGUCAGACUCAAGGCGAACUCGCCUCCUCCAUGUGAAAGAGAGCAAACAUUACAGCUUUGGACCAAGAAAAAAUCUAUUUUGUUGGUCGCUGCGGUGCUUGGACUGCUCCCAUUCUGGCCAGUCUUCGCUCAGCCUGUGGGAAGUGACAGCAUGGUUGAUGGAUGGUACAAAGACAUCCAGCAGAGAGAAACAGGCGAGGAAACUGGACACCAGUACACAGCUUGGAGCACAGCAAGACACUCAGGGAAGGGGAGGGAGAGGGUCUGUCCAACUCUGAGCCCCUCAAACACUCAGCAACAACAGCGCCGCAACUUCAGCGAUGAACUUUUGAGACAAACCAGCCAUUGCUUCACAUUUGGAGCAGAAACUAAAUGAGUCAUCUGAUGGCUUUAGUGUUAGGUUUGCUUUCUACGCAGUUUUACAUAAAGCCAGUAAGAAAUGGUCUAAAGUG